rnacentral:rRNA from 1 species
CGAAAGCCUGACGGAGCAAUACCGCGUGAGGGAGGAAGGCUCUUGGGUUGUAAACCUCUUUUCUCAGGGAAGAAAAAAAUGACGGUACCUGAGGAAUAAGCAUCGGCUAACUCCGUGCCAGCAGCCGCGGUAAUACGGAGGAUGCAAGCGUUAUCCGGAAUUAUUGGGCGUAAAGCGUCCGCAGGUGGCAGUUCAAGUCUGCUGUCAAAGGUCAGGGCUCAACCCUGAACAGGCAGUGGAAACUGAAUAGCUAGAGUGCGGUAGGGGCAGAGGGAAUUCCCAGUGUAGCGGUGAAAUGCGUAGAGAUUGGGAAGAACACCGGUGGCGAAAGCGCUCUGCUAGGCCUGCACUGACACUCAGGGACGAAAGCUAGGGGAGCG